UAAUGCCGGAUGUUCCACAUGAGCGCAUGCGAGUGUGGGAAAGGCUUUUGCGGCAUGGGAUGGGGUCGCGUCCUAUCAGCUUGUUGGUGGGGUAACGGCCUACCAAGGCGUUGACGGGUAGCCGGCCUGAGAGGGCGACCGGCCACAUUGGGACUGAGAUACGGCCCAGACUCCUACGGGAGGCAGCAGUGGGGAAUAUUGCACAAUGGGCGCAAGCCUGAUGCAGCGACGCCGCGUGCGGGAUGGAGGCCUUCGGGUUGUAAACCGCUUUUGUUCAAGGGCAAGGCACGGUUUCGGCCGUGUUGAGUGGAUUGUUCGAAUAAGCACCGGCUAACUACGUGCCAGCAGCCGCGGUAAUACGUAGGGUGCAAGCGUUAUCCGGAUUUAUUGGGCGUAAAGGGCUCGUAGGCGGUUCGUCGCGUCCGGUGUGAAAGUCCAUCGCUUAACGGUGGAUCCGCGCCGGGUACGGGCGGGCUUGAGUGCGGUAGGGGAGACUGGAAUUCCCGGUGUAACGGUGGAAUG
rnacentral:rRNA from 1 species